CUUCAAUUAUUGAACUAUUUUUAAAUUAUUGAUAUAUUUUUUUUUAAUCUCAAUCAUUGAUUAAAAUUAAUUCAACAACUGAGAUCAAAUUCUUCCCUUCCUGAACAAACAACCAACCCUAAUUUCAUAUUUUCCACCCUUAAAUAAAACAAAACAGCCACCUCCACAGCCCUCUAUCCUUUCUUACGGAAAAACAACAACCACAUCAAGCUGCCGCCGCCUCCCACCAGUCGAUGGAAUCCCACCUCCUUUCUCUCCUUUAUCUUUCUCCGGCAACUUCAUCAAAUGUCCGCUGCUCAACUAACAAAAACCCACAACAGCCACUGCUUUCACUGCCGAUGAAUCCAAGCCAGUCGUACCACCGCUAAGACAAUACCGGAGCUCCGGAAUUGCCAAUGCACAGCAGUGCGGAAGGCAAAGGGGCGGGGCCUUAUGCAGUGGGAAUUUAUGUUGUAGCCAAUUUGUAUGGUGUGGAUCGACACCCAAAUGCUGAUUACCUAUCCCAGGUUGCUAGAUCCAAUGCUGUGGAAGUGGUCCAACUCCAACUCCAGGAGGAAGCGCGCAAAAUGUACGUGCAACAUAUCAUUUAUAUAACCCGCAGACUGUUGGUUGGGACUUGAAUGUUGUUAGUGCUUAUUGCUCGACUUGGGAUGCUAAUAAGCCUUUGGCUUGGAGGAGGAAGUAUGGUUGGACUGCUUUCUGUGGUCCUGUAGGACCUCGUGGCCAAGCCUCAUGUGGCAAGUGCUUAAGGAUAUCUUUUGAUCUGUGCGACGGAUGGCCGAACGGAGUGCGCCAGUAGCUUCGGAAUAUCAAUUUUAGGCUAGGUAGACCUUGGGUUCGGGUUCUGGUGCACCCGAGCUCAUUUCAACCUAUUGAUCGGAAAGUUGAAAAAUUGAAAAGUUAGGUGUGGGACCCACAUUUGGACGAAACGACCUCGGAUGGAAAAUCCAACUUUGCCAGCAGAUUCGGAAUAUCGAUUCUAGUGUGUUAGCAUGUUUGGUAUGAUUUUACGGCUUUUAAAUCUCAUUUCAACCCUUAAUUUGGGAAAUUGUGAUUUCGGGUUUCGAGCAUCAAUUUUGUGAAAAUGAGUUUUUAUGGAAAAUCUGGUAUCUCCAUCGCGUCUGGAACGUCGAAUUUAGUGUGGUUGCAUAAUCCGUUUACAGAAAUCGGACUCCAAACUAAUCCCAGGCACCCCGUCGAAAUUCGAUCGAAAAGAAAAAAAAACCCAGCACCAUGAAAAAAAACCCCAGCACCAGCUAUUGCAGAAAAUCUGCCAUAAAUAGCAGAUGUUUCACCCAUUUUGCUCAUUUUUCAUCUUACCUCUUGAGAGUUAAAUGUAAAAUAGUGUGGGAGCUUAAAAGUAAAGUUUGUUAGAGUUUGGAAAGCUAGAUUAAUACCUAUUUUUUGAUUUUAUUAUGGAUUUAAGAUAAAAAUUUACCCUUUUCUUAAUAAUUUCUUCACUAAUUUCUCAAAACUUCAAAAAUCUUAGGGCAUGAGUUUAAACCCAAAUUUCACUCAUUUUCACUUGAAUGACAUUUUUAUCUUAUAAUUACUAGUUUUUCAUUAAUUUAACCUUCAAAACAACUCCGAUUCUUGAUUUUAACACUGAUUUCAAAUAUUUUAUCUGGUAAAGCUUAAAAAUGAUUUUUCUUCGAUUUGAACCUCAUUUUUGACUCAAUUUAACUUGAGUUUUCAAUUGUAGGUUCCUAAAAAUAUAGGGAACAUGUUUUUAAAUUAAAGUUCUGAUUUUGUCCUUCUUUUUUGGAAAUUCAUUUUGGGGGUUUGUUUUGACCCCGAACCAAAAGUAGUCAAUAUGAGUGUUGUUGGUUCUGUUUUGAUGCGUAGAUUUCAUAUUUGAUGUUUUUAGUAUAGUUCAGAAUUAUUCGUGAAAAGUAAGAUCGCGGUUUAAGUGUAGCGGACCAGUUUCGGCUUUCGAGGUAGGUUAUGGUUUAGCGCUUCAUACUGGGCUGUGUAGCAAAUGAUGGUACAGAAUGCAUAUUAAGGGUGGGAACUAAUCAUGAAAAAUGGCUAUCUACGUGUUGUGCCCGUGUGGGGGCUUUAUGUGAUGUAAUUGUUGAAAUUAAAAUAUUAUGUGAUAUGUUUGACCGUAUGGGGUCCUAUGUGACAUUGAUAGCCUUGAAUACAUGUGAGUAAUUGUAUUAUAUUGUUUAAUGUGGCACCAUUGGUGUAUUGUGAUUAUAUUCAUACUUUAUUGGCAUAUGAGACAUGUGGAAAUUCAUGGAUGAAAUGAUAAUAACGAAUAGAUAUUGACUUAUGUGGUUGUGGAAAUGUAUCAUUGUGGUUGGUUGUGGAAAUAUAUCAUGUGGUUAGUUGUGAAAAUACUUAUGUGAUUGGUUGUGAGCAUUAUAUCUUCAUAUCAUACUCAUUCAUGAAAUAUUAGUACCACUGUGGCAACAUCUGAGAAAUACUGACAACACCUUUUUAAAAAUAUUGUAAAACCUUAUAAAACCCUUUUAGAGGGAUAUGCCAGAAAGGAUAUAUGAGAUAUGUGGAUUGUAUAUGAGUUGAUGAACCCCCCAUGGGUCCUACGUAAGGAAGCUUUAGCUUCGUAGGUGUAUACGGGGAUUGUGCGACGAUCCCGAAGGUUGUGCGACAACCUCGUGCAUCAUCAUCAUCAUUAUCAUAUACAUUGUACUUACUUUAUUAUGUUUAUGUUGUGUUGUAUUGCCUUAUUAACUUGUCAUCUAUGUAUUUGUCUUACUCUCCUUUACUUGUAUUUGAUAAUCUUGUAUCUACAUGUUCUCUAUUGUUCUAUUUAUAUGUGAGAUAAUGUAUACUUUUGUUCAAUAUCUUGGUGUGUUUUUGUAAUAUAUGUGAAAUAUAUUAAAACUGUUAGUGCAAACGGUGUGGGCUAUCGUUGUGGGACAUUUUCUGAUUGCAGGUGACGUGCCCUUAGUGUAUAUUUUAUAUGCUUUAUUUACUACUUUGCUUGGUCGGCCUAUGAUACCUACUGAGUACAAGUGGAUCGUACUCAUGCCUACUGCGCCCUUUCGAUGCAGGUCCUAGCUCGAGUGCACCUCAACUUACUUGACUCGGGCGAUUGUUGGAGCUUCCAAGGUAGCGGUUGGACAUUCAUGCGUUCGAAGUUCACCUCUAUCUUUCUAUACUAGUUAUGUGUUUAUUAGUAUUUAGAGACAGUUAUUAUUCCUUUGUGGUUAUUUUUUUGAUGUAUUUGACUCUUGGAUUGUAUUAGUAGUUCUUACACUAUUGACACUUGGUUUUGGGCAUGAUUGGUAGUUUGGAUAAGUUCUUUACGUAUUGUUAUGAUUAUUUAUAUAGUGCAACUUCGUUCUGGAAGCCUUA